rnacentral:rRNA from 1 species
AGUGAACGCUGGCGGUAGGCCUAACACAUGCAAGUCGAACGGCAGCACAGUAAGAGCUUGCUCUUACGGGUGGCGAGUGGCGGACGGGUGAGGAAUACAUCGGAAUCUACUUUUUCGUGGGGGAUAACGUAGGGAAACUUACGCUAAUACCGCAUACGACCUACGGGUGAAAGCAGGGGAUCUUCGGACCUUGCGCGAUUGAAUGAGCCGAUGUCGGAUUAGCUAGUUGGCGGGGUAAAGGCCCACCAAGGCGACGAUCCGUAGCUGGUCUGAGAGGAUGAUCAGCCACACUGGACCUGAGACACGGUCCAGACUCCUACGGGAGGCAGCAGUGGGGAAUAUUGGACAAUGGCGCAAGCCUGAUCCAGCCAUACCGCGUGGGUGAAGAAGGCCUUCGGGUUGUAAAGCCCUUUUGUUGGGAAAGAAAAGCAGCAGGUUAAUACCCCGCUGUUCUGACGGUACCCAAAGAAUAAGCACCGGCUAACUUCGUG